AGAGUUUGAUCAUGGCUCAGGACGAACGCUGGCGGCGUGGAUUAGGCAUGCAAGUCGGACGGUAGGGCUUUAUCGUAAGAUAGAGUUUGAGAGUGGCGAACGGGUGAGUAACACGUAGGAAUCUACCCUUAAGACGGGGACAACCCAGGGAAACUUGGGCUAAUACCGGAUGAGAGUGCGAGAGAUUGCAUUUAAAAGGAUGGCGAAAGUUGUCGCUUAGGGAUGAGCCUGCGGUCUAUUAGUUAGUUGGUGAGGUAAGAGCUCACCAAGGCGAUGAUAGAUAGGCGGCCUUAACGGGUGGUCGCCCACACUGGGAUUGAGAUACGGCCCAGACUCCUACGGGAGGCAGCAGUCGAGAAUAGUCUACAAUGGCCGGAAGGCUGAUAGUGCGACGCCGCGUGAACGAGGGAGCCCUUCGGGGUGUAAAGUUCUUUUCUAUACGAGCAGUGCUAUAUAUAUGGAUAGUAUAUAUAGAGGGAUAGUAGUAUAGGAAUAAGCAACGGCUAACUCCGUGCCAGCAGCCGCGGUAACACGGGGGUUGCGAGCGUUGUCCGGAAUUACUAGGCGUAAAGGGCAGGUAGGCGGAUCUACGAGUUUUUUGUUAAAGGCUACGGCUCAACUGUAGUAGAGCAGGAGAUACUGUAGGUCUGGAAUGCGGUAGGGGAAGACAGAAUUCCUGGUGUAGCGGUGGAAUGCGCAGAGAUCAGGAGGAAUACCGAAGGCGAAGGCAGUCUUCUAGGCCGUAAUUGACGCUUAACUGCGAAGGUGUGGGGAUCAAACAGGAUUAGAUACCCUGGUAGUCCACACAGUAAACGAUAAUCACUAGAUGUCGGGUUCUAGAUGGAUUCGGUGUCGGAGCAAACGCGAUAAGUGAUUCGCCUGGGGAGUACGAUCGCAAGGUUGAAACUCAAAUGAAUUGACGG
rnacentral:rRNA from 1 species